GCUUAUGUAUGCUCUAUGCACUUCACUCUGCUUCCUGAGGCAGGUGAGAUGUUUUAAUAUCUACUUGCCUGAAUGUUAAUGUCUGCCCACAGAAAUAAGUCGGAGCUCUGGAGUAGAGAACACCCGAUGAUUCAGAAUCGUUCCGAAGUGCUAUAUUUCUUCGACUGCUCAGACUGUACCCCUCAAAACCAGCUGUCCACUCUUUUUCAAAGCAAAGAUAUUGAAAACUGUUAGAAUCUCUUGAGGGAUAUCUUCAAUACAGACACGUUAAAUAAAACAUGGAAAUGGGAGACUACUCUUAGGGGCCAUGGUCAAGUUCAAUAAAAUAAAAGAUUCCAUUAACAGGGUAUCAUGAUCAGUCCCACAAAUUACAAAAGAUUUUAGUAUAUUCCUGCAUAAUUUUGACAUAAUAAAUCACACAAGUGUUAUCUCUUAUCUAAUAAAAUCAUUGUACAAGCAUAA
ensembl:lncRNA novel transcript